rnacentral:rRNA from 1 species
AUUGAACGCUGGCGGCAUGCCUUACACAUGCAAGUCGAACGGUAACGCGGGGCAACCUGGCGACGAGUGGCGAACGGGUGAGUAAUGCAUCGGAACGUGCCCAGUAGUGGGGGAUAGCCCGGCGAAAGCCGGAUUAAUACCGCAUACGACCUACGGGUGGAAGGGGGGGAUCGCAAGACCUCUCGCUAUUGGAGCGGCCGAUGUCAGAUUAGGUAGUUGGUGGGGUAAAGGCCUACCAAGCCUACGAUCUGUAGCUGGUCUGAGAGGACGACCAGCCACACUGGGACUGAGACACGGCCCAGACUCCUACGGGAGGCAGCAGUGGGGAAUUUUGGACAAUGGGCGCAAGUCUGAUCCAGCCAUGCCGCGUGCGGGAAGAAGGCCUUCGGGUUGUAAACCGCUUUUGUCAGGGAAGAAACGCUCUGGACUAAUACUCUGGGGUAAUGACGGUACCUGAAGAAUAAGCACCGGCUAACUACGUGCCAGCCGCCGCGGUAAAAC